GGGGAUCUACUGCAAAACUGAAUUGUAAACUUCUAUUUUCUUUUGUUUAGUUUUCUUUUGUUUAGUUUUUAUAAUACAGUUUGUCUUGCACAACCUUGGCAUGGAUACAGGAGAAAACGGACCCCACUCUAGAAUUUAGGCCUGCUCAGAGAUAGUAGAUGACAAUAUCACAUGCAAAAGUUACUGUGUUUAUACUUUGACCAUAGAUAUUGUAAUAUCCUGUCAGUCCAUAACACAGUGAUGCCUUUGCUAGCAACAAGACAUAAGCUUACUAUUGAGUUUGCAAGCCUCAGAGCUGAAGCUUGCUCCCUCUGAAGAUGUCAGGCUUUCUCUGUUUGAGUUUGUCUUCACCUGCUUGGAGCUUUUUUACUUGAUUUAACUCUAAUAACAAUUUUUCUUCUGAAUUCACGAGUCACUGCAGCCAGUUAUUUUACCUCCCUUAUCUUUGUAUGGUACAACCAUAAUUUCAUAGAGAGUAAUAAGUUGUUAUUCUGUAUAGAAUGAGACAUUUAUGACCAACAUAAUGAUAUAGAGAUAUACAGACCUGCCAGUUAGCAGAUGUCUCUUAAGAUGUGAGGAGAGUGAGUACAGUGUAGAGGAGCACAGACAGGGGAUGAUAAGACAUGGGGCACAGACUGACACUGCUUACAGCUACAAACAACUCAUCAGCGGUUGGAUAAAAUGGUGUAGAGCUGCAGCUGCACAAAAUGUUUUUUGAAGAGUAACAAAGAAAACAAAGAAAUAACAUCUAACAGAUGUAAAAUGUAGUUAACAUGGCACUAGUAUGGACCUGUAAGCAAAUAGAGAAAAAGAUGUAAAGAAAGUCUUACCAAACAUACAGAAGUGACUCCAAGUGGAUUCUAGGUGAGGAAGAAGCCAUCACAUUCAUGGAAGUCAUCAAAAUUGUAUUACUACCUGUGAAGUACACCAGAUGUCGACAUCCCAUCGUAGUCCCUGGCACCAAUCAGACUGAAGUGUCCCACUUUAGGACCACUCAGAGAAGCAGGCAAAGGGUGAACAUAACCCUAGGAAAAGAGUGGAAACUAAAAGGCGCUUGUAUGUUGACCUGUCUGUGGAUCAACUCCUUGAAGAAAGUAUUGGUUCCUCCACUUCUUGGGAAGCUUAACUGCAGUGGAGUGAGACUUGAAGUCUGCUGGAUGGCUUUGGAGUCACCAACUAAUCUCUGAGGUGAACUGAGAGAUCAAUUGAUGCUGUGAAAUUGAAAACCACAUAAAAGAAAGCUUCUUGUUCUUUUAUGGAGACAACAAAGCAAAAAAUGAAUAAUAACUGCCCUGUCCAGUAGGUUCUUUAAAAAAAUGUCAACUACUUCAAUACUUCUGGUGGAUAUUAACUAAUGUUUUAAAAGCUCUAGCAUUUGGAGACAGUUAUGUGAAACCGAGGAUCUUAUUUCAGUGCUCCACAUUCUUUACUGUUGUUAGUAUGUGUAUAUAAAUUUACGCAAAAUCCUCAAAAAUUAACAUCUAAUCUUGAAUACACCCUGUUUCAUUGAGUAUAGAAGAUAUUUACUUCAUAUAAUGUUUUUGCUUUUUGUGAUAAGUUUACAAUGUGCCCAUAUUUUUCCAUAUGAUUCACAGAACUGGGCACAAUACUCCAGCUAGGAGCUUACAAACAGUAGGAAGUAUGGACAGUUAUGUAAAAGGCAUUCAUAAUCUUCAUCUGUAACUUUCUUUCGAUGAAAGAAAUGUAUAACCUUCUACAUAAGUGUUAAAACUCCUUUUUUUUUUUUUUUAUGGGAAAACUAUCUUUAAGAGUGUCCUUAAUGAAAAUAUUAACAGAACAGGUAUUUGUAGUAAAAAAUAAAAAAAAACAAAACAAAACAUCGUUAAAAACACUGUUCCUGUUCUGUGUGUCUAAAACAUCUUAUUUUUUGUCUUUUAAUUUGUAGAAAAAAAUGGCUUCUUACAAUGAAGAAAAGCGGAAAUGAGUAUAAGGAACCUACAUGUAGAGUAAAAAGAAUUCUACUAAGUGACUAAUACAAAUAACUUUUCCUGGUCCAUCUGACCUCAAUAGUAUCUAAAAAUAGUUAGACAUAUGAAUUUUGGUAGCUCGAGUAGUAACAUUUUCUUGUGAUGGCUUAAUAUCAGAACAGAGGAUUAAACAAUCUAGAUUCUUAUGUCAUUCAUCCUUAUCAUGAAUCUGUAAGUUUAAGUAAUCCUAAAUGGAUAUUUAUAAAGUGAUUUUUCCAGAUGAAUGCACAAGUCUUUUGUAUGGUAAUGAAAUAUGACAAGAGCUAGUCUGAACAGAGCACAUUUCUGAGAUAAAAACUAUAAACCUCUGCAGGUAGUCCUUGCAGUCACUCUGAAAAAAGCAUGCCUGUUAUUAAACAACAAUUCUUCUCAAUUACCAGUAGAGCGAAUUUGUGCUGUAGUGUACUUGAGAGGUAUUACUGUAGGAAAUUGUUCAAAUAUAAUCAAAAGGAAGGUGAUAAAAAAUGUACUUAUGUGUCAUGGUCACAUGUAAGAGGUGGAAGAGCAGGGUAGAACAGUGUGGUGGAAGAGGUGGUAAUUGACAUGAUGGCAUCUAGGAAGUAAUGGUCUUAUCUCUUCCACAAAACUCAGGGUAAGCACCAUUUUCCAAACUCUGUUACAACGGAAUAUACUUCUUCUGUUAGAAGGUAUACAGGAAACUGAAGGAAAAUUAUAUAUUUUUGCUCGUUAAAGUUUUUACCACCAAUCUCUUCAGUUUUUGGAGACAGUCAUGAGAUAGGAGAGAAGAGAUUGAAAUGAGGAAGUGGGAUCUUGUCUCAAUCAUCUGGAGAAAACGAUAUCCAAAAGCAUAUGGUCAGUUUGAGAAUCUGAUCCAGACUAUCUAUUUAUGUCCUUUUCUGUUUGAAAAUUUGAAAUGAAAGUACUUAUUUGAACAGUGUCUUUUUAUUACCUGAUUGUUAGAAAAUUUAGUAGACUAAUGCUGAUAGGUCAUGUAAGUGGUGGCAAUUAUAUCAAAUGUGUGUGUGCUAGCAUCAGUAAAGCAAUUGAUUGCAUUAUUACCGUCUAAAUUUGUAAAUAUUUUACCAUCAUAGUUGAAUUUUUAAUGGUAACUUCUGUUAUCUUUCCUAUUUCCCAGUGUAA